GUGAGGAAUAUUGGACAAUGGGCGCAAGCCUGAUCCAGCCAUGCCGCGUGCAGGAAGACGCAUCUAUGGUGUGUAAACUGCUUUUGUACGGGAAGAAACACUCCCUCGUGAGGGAGCUUGACGGUACCGUAAGAAUAAGGAUCGGCUAACUCCGUGCCAGCAGCCGUGGUAAUACGGAGGAUCCAAGCGUUAUCCGGAAUCAUUGGGUUUAAAGGGUCCGUAGGCGGUUUAAUAAGUCAGUGGUGAAAGCCCAUCGCUCAACGAUGGAACGGCCAUUGAUACUGUUAGACUUGAAUUACAAGGAAGUAACUAGAAUAUGUAGUGUAGCGGUGAAAUGCUUAGAUAUUACAUGGAAUACCAAUUGCGAAGGCAGGUUACUACUUGUGGAUUGACGCUGAUGGACGAAAGCGUGGGGAGCGAACAGGAUUAGAAACCCUUGUAGUCC
rnacentral:rRNA from 1 species